ACAACAGCUAAACAUAUGGCAAAUCACUUCUAUUUUUUUAGCUAUCAAAUAGUGGAUUGGAUUGCAUGCUGAAAACCUCAGUAAGCUGGAGAGAUGAAUCACCAGGAACAUGCCAGAACUGGAAUGAAGGGAGAGAAAGAGAUCAGCAGAAACCAGGGAAAAGAUGUGGCUUCAUUUCAUCACAAACAGGACUCUGGGGUAAUGCAAACUGUACUGUCUCUCUUCGUUGUAUUUGUAAAAGUAAAUUUGCAUGGAAAAUAGAGAAAGAGAUCCCAAAAGACCAGAACCAUCAAGGAGUAUGCCCCAAACGCUGGC